CCGUAGCUCAGUUGGAUAGAGCAACAGCCUUCUAAGCUGUGGGUCGUGGGUUCGAACCCCGCCGG
rnacentral:tRNA from 1 species